rnacentral:rRNA from 1 species
CACGUAGGGGACGAGCGUUGUCCGGAUUCAUUGGGCGUAAAGCGCGCGUAGGCGGCUCGGAAAGUCGGUCGUGAAAUGCCGGGGCUCAACCCCGGGACUGCGUCCGAUACUCCCGAGCUGGAGGCAGGUAGGGGAGAUCGGAAUUCCUGGUGUAGCGGUGGAAUGCGCAGAUAUCAGGAGGAACACCGGUGGCGAAGGCGGGAUCCUGGGCCAGUACUGACGCUGAGGAGCGAAAGCGUGGGGAGCAAACAGG